rnacentral:rRNA from 1 species
UACGGGGGGGGCAAGCGUUGUUCGGAAUUACUGGGCGUAAAGGGCUCGUAGGUGGCCAACUAAGUCAGACGUGAAAUCCCUCGGCUUAACCGGGGAACUGCGUCUGAUACUGGAUGGCUUGAGUUUGGGAGAGGGACGCGGAAUUCCAGGUGUAGCGGUGAAAUGCGUAGAUAUCUGGAGGAACACCGGUGGCGAAGGCGGCGUCCCGGACCAACACUGACACUGAGGAGCGAAAGCCAGGGGAGCAAACGGG